rnacentral:lncRNA from 1 species
GGGGUUAGUCCAACAAAAUAUCCAAUAUCUACUAUAUCAUGCUAUCGGCUCAAAAAUCAACCUAGACACCUGUCUAAUUUGAUUUAGGAGGGCAUUUUAACAUAAGCAUCAUGCUUAAUUUAAAAUUCCUUGGAAGUAAGAUCAUCAUUCCUAAACUAAGCACCAUGCUUAAUUAAGAGAUAAAUGAAACUACUCCAAACAUAGACAUAUACUAAAGCAAAUAAAGGGAGCAUGAGAGCAUUUAUAGAGAUCUACUCAAGUGGAGAUGAAGUAGUGUUAUUAGUAUUUAACAAAUUGAGCAUGUCUCAAAGGUAGGGACAACCAACAUAGCAACAUGGCAAAGGGUGUUUUUAUGUAAAGUACUCUCCCAAACUUGAAUUUGCAAAAUUCAAGUAUGGAUGAAUUUAAUUCAAUGUUGUAUGAUGAUUGGUUGGACAUACCUUGUACUUGUCAUUUAUCCGAUCUUCUUGCUCCAAUCCUAGAAAGGUUAGUGACAAGAAUACCCGAAGGAAUUUUUUACAAGUAUCCUUAUAUGCUCAAUACACAAGGUAAUGUUGUAAAUAAUUAAAAGCUCAUGUUACGAUCUGAUCAGUGCUUAUUUUAGGACACUAAGCUUGUCCUUGGGAAACCAUCAAUUUAUGUCGGCGAAGUGGUUUCCCCUCCAACGCUGACCUAUAUCAAGAUCAACUCAACGAGAUCUGCAAUAUUUCUUAUAGACAUAUGCAUCGACAACCGCCCUUUUAAAGUUUUUAUAAAUAGAAAGGAAGAGGGGGUUGGAGAUCUCGAAUGUGGCGAUGUUGGAGAGACCAAUAGAUUGGGAAGAUGUUACAUAUGAGCAUGCAGUAAAUGAAGUGGCUAUGAAAUAAAUUCCAUGCUCAUUAAUGUUUGGAGUGAAAUCAAUGUGGUAUGGUGAAAAUGGUAAGGUGAGUGUUGUAAAAAAAAGAAAAAAAAAAAGAAAAAGGAUACACAGACGACUUGGUUCGAAACUAGCACAACUACCGUUUCCCGGCAACGGUGCCAGAAAGCUUGUUAGGUAUUUUAAACGCAAAUAGAAAAAUCCGCAAGCGCACGGAUACCGAUGUAGCUUUCACCCGAGAGUAUUCGAGAGUAUCGAUUUUCCAUAGGGAACGUGAGUGUACUAAUUAAGAUUCAAGAUCGCCCAAGGAUAACUAUAUAAUUAUUUUUGGUGGGAAGAGAGGAAGUUUCCUGAGAGUUCUCUAAUUGAUCUAAGAAUAAAGAAUUACUUCAAAGAUUAUUUAUUUCAGGACAUCAGAACACGAACCACAGAAAGAGAUGGGAAGGGGGCUAGGAAGCUCUGACUACGGUCCUACAAACACCGAUCUAAACGAGGUGGAAUACGUCGACCGUUAGGGCUGUCACUACCCUAGGGCUACCACAACAAUCCGCAGGAUUGGGUGCAAUUCUAGGUAAUUGCAAGACUAAACACCACGUCUAAUCUAUUAAUUACUACUCUAGCGUUUCAAAGACUAGAGCACUUGAUGCAAGUGGGAAUCCAAUAAAUAACUUGAAUGUAAAUAAAAGUAAUUAAAGAACUCAGGAAUUAUGAAUUGAAGAACUUGGAGAACGAAGAAGAACAAACCAGUUGCUGCAAAAGUACAAUGUUGAGGAAGAUCCGACAGAUCCGGCUCCUCCUCCGCUCUUCUCUUCUCUCUCCCUAUUUUCUAGAUUACAACUAGAACUAACUAGAACUAGAACUAGAUGAACUAGAGGGAUCCUCUCUACUUGGAUGAAUAAUUGAAACCCUAGCUUUGAUUCUGUAGAAGAGGUAUGUUCUCCAGGGGCCUGCUUAUAUAGCCCUUCCAAACGAAUGUGGGCCGUCGGAUCAAACAGACCUUAAUCGCACUGUUUUCCUUGAUCUUCAAAGGUGGUGGAGCACGAUCCACGAGACCUGCCCCGAUUGGUCACCAGGGCAGGGCGGGCGCCCAAGGGGGGAGGGCGGGCGCCCAGCCCCCGGGCCCGCUCGGCCUCCCGUUCGUUCUUGUGGCUUCUAGUGUCUUCUAGAUGAUAGAAAAUUGGCGCACACGUUAAUAUCUCUAUGUAAACCCAAUGUGUGGGCCUUGCCUCCAUGUUUCCUAAUAACCCCCUGCAGAAAUAGACAAACAUCAAAACUCAUGGAAUUCUGUCAAAUGAAACCCUAAUUUUGGAUGUUGGUUGCAUAUAGGUCCUUUUCCAUGAUUAGUUGAUGGUUAAAUGUGAGCAUUAAGGACCGUCAACAAUAACUUAGCUUCUGUAGCACAACCCC